rnacentral:rRNA from 1 species
AUCGAACGCUGGCGGCAGGCCUAACACAUGCAAGUCGAACGAACUCUUCGGAGUUAGUGGCGGACGGGUGAGUAACACGUGGGAACGUGCCUUUUGGUUCGGAAGAACGCAGGGAAACUUGUGCUAAUACCGAAUCUGCUCUUCCGGGGAAAGUUUUAUCGCCAGUGGAGCGGCCCGCGACUGAUUGGCUUGUUGUGGAGGUAACGGCGCACCAAGGCGACGAGCAGUAGAUGGUUAGAGAGGAUGGCCAGCGACACUGGUACUGAGGAACGGCCAAGACUAUUACGGGAGGGAGGAGUGGGGGAUCUUGCGAAGUGGGCGGAGGGAUGAAGGAGCCAGGACGGGUGAAUGCUGAAGGUUUUGGGAUUGUGAAAUUCUUUCACCGGGGACGAUAAUGACGUUACCAGGAGAAGAAGCCCCGGCUAACUUCGUG